rnacentral:rRNA from 1 species
GACGAACGCUGGCGGCGUGCCUAAUACAUGCAAGUAGAACGCACAGUUUAUACCGUAGCUUGCUACACCAUAGACUGUGAGUUGCGAACGGGUGAGUAACGCGUAGGUAACCUGCCUGGUAGCGGGGGAUAACUAUUGGAAACGAUAGCUAAUACCGCAUAAUAUUAAUUAUUGCAUGAUAAUUAAUUGAAAGGUGCAAUUGCACCACUACCAGAUGGACCUGCGUUGUAUUAGCUAGUAGGGGAGGUAACGGCUCAUCGAGGCGACGAAACAUAGCCGACCUGGAAGGGUGGUUGGCCCCACUGGGAACGAGACACGGCCCAGAACCCUACGGGAGGCAGCAGUAGGGAAUUUUCGGCAAUGGACGAAAGUCUGACCGAGCAACGCCGCGUGAGUGAAGAAGGGUUUCGGAUCGUAAAGCUCUGUUGUAAGAGAAGAACGGGUGUGAGAGUGGAAAGUUCACACUGUGACGGUAUCUUACCAGAAAGGGACGGCUAACUACGUG